UAAAUCUCAGUAACUCAACCCUUUCUUUUCUCUCAAAUCUCAAAUCUCAAAUCUCAAAACCACAAAUCACCUUAUUGAGUCACGAUUUCAUCUCUAACUCGGUGGCCAUGAGUACAUGACAGGUGAUAAGGUAAAAAAAUGGUUCAAGAAAUACCUCCAAAUAACACUCAAGGAACUACACGGAAGAUAAUUCUGAUGUUCCUCCAAAAGGUCCUUUAAGAGAGCAAGACAAUAUGGAGUUUGAAAAGACUUGGGAAAACUUUAAAUGAUAGACAAUAAGUGGAAGGUUUUCACAAUUUCGGUGGACAAUAUGACUGCAAAUGAUGUUUGCAUAGAAAUUUUGAAGGAUACAAUCUCAUUGACUAAGAGAUUGAUUUGUGGUAGAAAGUUAUUCCAUUUUCGUUGUUGUGUUAACAUUUUGAACAUUAUGGUUCAACAUAGGUUGAAAAAGUGAAAAUAAUCGUCAAGAAUGUUCAUGAUACCAUUGAUUUAAUCAAUGGUUGUGAGUAUCGGUUGAAAAAGUUUGUCGAACUUGUUGGAUGAUAAAUUAAAUACUCCCGAUGAAUUUAUUAAUGGCAUGGUUAAAAAUAUGAAAGAAAGAUUUGAUAAAUAUUGGGGUGAAUGUAAUUUACUUAUGGCUAUUGGUUGUGUGUU